AUACCUAAUCUAAAAAUAAGAAUUUCGACUUUAAUCUAAAUGUUAAGAGAUGCACAUGUCUAAUAAACAUCACAAUAAGGAAAUAUUGAAUGGCAAACAUUGAUUAUUUAUAGAUCAACAAUCAACUUUAAAUAAAAUAGAAAUAACUAAAUUUAUAGAUCAACAAACGAGUGACUAAUAUGGAUAACGGGUGCAACUCAAUCAACGCCGCCGCGAGCCAGCAUCUGGUCAUUGAGUCAGCGGGCAGCCAGCCAGGCCCAACGAACUAAAACGUAAAACUCGAAAAGUACAACAACAACAACAACGAAAAAUACAGAAAUGAAAUGAAACUCUUUGCAACGCCACCUGCCACCUGCCCAAAAGUUGCCAGAGCUUUGACUUUAUUUUGGUCCAAAGGUGACGCCAGCAGUCUCUCAGUCUCUCAGACUCUGAGUCUCUCAGAGUCUCCUGCCUGUGCCGUAUUCAAGUGGCGCACAACUGAGGAAGCUGCAUGGAAGCUGCCUGGAAGCUGGAGCGUACUUUCAAGUGGGUAUCAAAGAUCAACGAUCGUAAGAGGGCAAACCGAAGAGUCCACCAAGUCAAGUGUUGCCGUUCUUUUCUUUUCUUUUCUUUUCUUUUUUUUCGCCAUGGCAAUAUUAUUACAAACGGGUCUAAUGGUAACAAACAGUGCACGAUCAUUAAAGUUGCAUCUUCACGCAAUUCUGAGGGCAAGCGAGGCCAAAGGAAAUCCUAUUCAGAAGAUCGCACAGAACCUCUGCAAAGCUACUCAGUGAUCUAACACGAUCUGCAACCUGCAAACUAUCGAUUGAUUUGAUUUGAUUUGAUCGUAGUUUCUUUAAGCCAAUUUCUAACACUUUAACCAAAGGAAACGAACUUCCUAAAGUGGAGCAAGCAAUAUGUUACAACAAUAAAUGAAAUCUGUCGCUUUUA